rnacentral:rRNA from 1 species
UCCUACGGGAGGCAGCAGUAGGGAAUCUUCCACAAUGGACGAAAGUCUGAUGGAGCAACGCCGCGUGAGUGAAGAAGGUUUUCGGAUCGUAAAACUCUGUUGUUGGAGAAGAAUGUAUCUGAUAGUAACUGAUCAGGUAGUGACGGUAUCCAACCAGAAAGCCACGGCUAACUACGUGCCAGCAGCCGCGGUAAUACGUAGGUGGCAAGCGUUGUCCGGAUUUAUUGGGCGUAAAGCGAGCGCAGGCGGUUUCUUAAGUCUGAUGUGAAAGCCUUCGGCUCAACCGAAGAAGUGCAUCGGAAACUGGGAAACUUGAGUGCAGAAGAGGACAGUGGAACUCCAUGUGUAGCGGUGAAAUGCGUAGAUAUAUGGAAGAACACCAGUGGCGAAGGCGGCUGUCUGGUCUGUAACUGACGCUGAGGCUCGAAAGCAUGGGUAGCAAACAGGAUUAGAUACCCUGGUAGUCCAUGCCGUAAACGAUGAGUGCUAGGUGUUGGAGGGUUUCCGCCCUUCAGUGCCGCAGCUAACGCAUUAAGCACUCCGCCUGGGGAGUACGACCGCAAGGUUGAAACUCAAAGGAAUUGACGGGGGCCCGCACAAGCGGUGGAGCAUGUGGUUUAAUUCGAAGCAACGCGAAGAACCUUACCAGGUCUUGACAUCCUUUGACCACUCUAGAGAUAGAGCUUUCCCUUCGGGGACAAAGUGACAGGUGGUGCAUGGUUGUCGUCAGCUCGUGUCGUGAGAUGUUGGGUUAAGUCCCGCAACGAGCGCAACCCUUAUUACUAGUUGCCAGCAUUUAGUUGGGCACUCUAGUGAGACUGCCGGUGACAAACCGGAGGAAGGUGGGGACGACGUCAAAUCAUCAUGCCCCUUAUGACCUGGGCUACACACGUGCUACAAUGGAUGGUACAACGAGUUGCGAGACCGCGAGGUUUAGCUAAUCUCUUAAAACCAUUCUCAGUUCGGAUUGUAGGCUGCAACUCGCCUACAUGAAGCCGGAAUCGCUAGUAAUCGCGGAUCAGCAUGCCGCGGUGAAUACGUUCCCGGGCCUUGUACACACCGCCCGUCACACCAUGAGAGUUUGUAACACCCAAAGCCGGUGAGGUAACCCUUCGGGGAGCCAGCCGUCUAAG